rnacentral:rRNA from 1 species
GGACGAACGCUGGCGGCGUGCCUAACACAUGCAAGUCGAGCGAGGAGAGUCCUUCGGGAUGAUCCUAGCGGCGGACGGGUGAGUAACACGUGGGCAACCUGCCUCAUAGAGAGGAAUAGCCUUCCGAAAGGGAGAUUAAUACCUCAUAACAUUGCAGUUUCGCAUGGAACAGCAAUUAAAGGAGUAAUCCGCUAUGAGAUGGGCCCGCGGCGCAUUAGCUAGUUGGUGAGGUAACGGCUCACCAAGGCGACGAUGCGUAGCCGACCUGAGAGGGUGAUCGGCCACAUUGGGACUGAGACACGGCCCAGACUCCUACGGGAGGCAGCAGUGGGGAAUAUUGCACAAUGGGGGAAACCCUGAUGCAAGCAACGCCGCGUGAGUGAUGACGGCCUUCGGGUUGUAAAGCUCUGUCUUCAGGGACGAUAAUGACGGUACCUGAGGAGGAAGCCACGGCUAACUACGUGCCAGCAGCCGC